GUAGGGAAUUUUGCGCAAUGGACGAAAGUCUGACGCAGCAACUCCGCGUGAGGGAUGAAUGCCUUCGGGUUGUAAACCUCUGUUGAGUGGGAAGAAAAAUUGGCGUAAUAACACUACGUUGAUCUGACGGUACCAUUCGAGUAAGCACCGGCUAACUACGUGCCAGCAGCCGCGGUAAUACGUAGGGUGCUAGCGUUGUUCGGAAUUACUGGGCGUAAAGGGAGCGCAGGCGGGAAAGUAAGUUAGAAGUGAAAUCUACAGGCUUAACCUGUAACGUGCUUUUAAUACUGCUUUUCUUGAGUAUGGGAGAGGAAGAUGGAAUUCCAGGUGUAGCGGUGGAAUGCGUAGAUAUCUGGAAGAACACCAGUUGUGAAGACGAUCUUCUGGCCCAAUACUGACGCUCAGGCUCGAAAGCUAGGGGAGCAAACAGGAUUAGAUACCCCAGUAGUCC
rnacentral:rRNA from 1 species